rnacentral:rRNA from 1 species
UACGGAGGAUCCAAGCGUUAUCCGGAAUCAUUGGGUUUAAAGGGUCCGUAGGCGGUUUAAUAAGUCAGUGGUGAAAGCCCAUCGCUCAACGGUGGAACGGCCAUUGAUACUGUUAGACUUGAAUUAUUAGGAAGUAACUAGAAUAUGUAGUGUAGCGGUGAAAUGCUUAGAGAUUACGAUGGAAUACCAAUUGCGAAGGCAGGUUACUACUAAUGGAUUGACGCUGAUGGACGAAAGCGUGGGUAGCGAACAGG